rnacentral:rRNA from 1 species
UACGAAGGGUGCAAGCGUUACUCGGAAUUACUGGGUGUAAAGCGUGCGUAGGUGGUGAGUUAAGUCUGUCGUGAAAGCCCCGGGCUCAACCUGGGAAUGGCGAUGGAUACUGGCUCGCUAGAGUGCGGUAGAGGAGAGUGGAAUUCCCGGUGUAGCAGUGAAAUGCGUAGAGAUCGGGAGGAACAUCAGUUGCGAAGGCGGCUCUCUGGACCAGCACUGACACUGAGGCACGAAAGCGUGGGGAGCAAACAGG